UCUGAUGAAGCCGAGCGUCGUUCGGGUGGCGGCGGCGGCGGGUGGGCGAGACGGGGCAGCACCGGCGAUGCUGGUAUGAGGUCGACCGCUCCCAGCGUCUACGUCUCCCGCUCCGGCGACAAGCCCCUACGUCCGAAUGGGUCCUGCUCUGAUCUAGCGAGAUUUCGCAAGGGACUGAAAGGGGGUAGCUAGAGAAUUGAGCAGGAGAGGGAGCAGACAGAGAAAACGAGAGAGUAGCGAGGUACAUACAUAGCGCAUUGUAUCGAAUCUGCCUUCAUUAAGGUGGGAUACGUUUUAACUCCAGGGAUGACUGAUUUUUGCCUCAUAUAGCUUUUCAGUUCCUGAAAGCACAUCCGACGUGAUGCUGUACAUUAUAUGCAUGGAGCUGAAGAAGCUUCUGGGGAGUUCAGUUGGUUUGCCUCGUCGCUUAAUAUUUGGAGAACUCUUCUUAUCUUAGCGUUGGUCUUUGAGAUUAAUGCUUCAUUUCCAAACUGUUAAAUGCUGCCCCCAUUUGAUUGGGGAGUUUGAUACCACAAAGGACCACGUGUUGAGCUGUAAACACAAUUUGUUUCAACAACAUUUCUUGUUUGUGUGAGAUACUCCAGUGAUGACUUAUUUUGACUCCUAUAUCGCUUCCAA